GAGAAGAAGUCUCCGCUAUGCCUUCCAAGUUUCUCAGUAACUCUGAGCCACUCUGCACUGAGUCGGGUUGGGCUGGGCUGAUGAGAAGCUGACUAUCCAGUGAGGAGUGCGGUGGAACCUCAGGUGGCUCUUCUAGAGAGAUCUCUUCUCAAGUGUUACAGCUCUUGGAACAAAAGUCUCAAAUGACAGAGUAUUUCUAGCAUACCUUUAAUUCCCCGGAUAGCAUUUAUAUACAGUUUUCGGGGCGAUUCAGGGUUUGAUAGCAGGCACCUCUCAUUGGCUUGGACUGAGAGUUUGGGGGAAACCUUAUUUGCAUGCUGGAAGGCUUGGUGCUGCUCCUACUUGACUGGUAAACACACACCUCUCCUCUGGGUGUUGUAGGGGUGGAAAUCAUCACCCAUCAGGUCCCCGGGAUUCCAGACCUAUGUUCAACUGGAGACCAGGCUAUCUGUGUGUAGCCCACUGCCCCACAAAUCUCCCUUUUCUUUUUAUAAGGGAGAGAUGUCACCAGAAUAACUGCCUCCUAUGUCAGGAAAAGUUUUAUACUGAACCAAGGCCUGAUUGGUAGUGAUGUUUGCAAUGCUACUCAUCUGCUGCUUUAGAAAAUGAAUUAGACAGGGUGCCAAGAGAAGCAAGGCUCCAAUGGCUAAUAUGGAGUCAAGAAGGGGAAGAAACCAGGCUACCAAGGGGUUAGAGUACCAAGGGGUAGGGGUGUUGGGAGUAUAGCAUGCCUGGAGGUUCCCCCAGAGUUCUUUGAACAUUUCUAUAUCUUGUUCUACCAGCCCAGAUUCAUUGGCGUAAAAGCAACAUUUCUCCCCCAGCAAAAUGCAAGUCCCUCCC
rnacentral:lncRNA from 1 species